UAAUGUGUGUUAGUGCUGGUUGUGAUUGUGGUGUUUGAUCUGAAGAAUGUUUUUGGAAGUCUGAGAUCCAGUCAAAGUCCAAAAAGCAAGACUCAUCAAUUACAUCCAGCUUCCAGAUUGCCUGUUUCUUCUCAAGUGCUCGGGAACACUUUGCAGAAUGCUUCUGUUUCAGAGUCUUGACCACAGAGGAUUUGCAUAAGAGCCUCUUGGUCUUCAGGAGAAGCAGGUGUUGCAGGGUCCAGUGAAGACUUUGGACUGAAGGUUUCCCACUGUUCCUGAAUUGCUGAGCAAGAUGUCGGUGGAUUUCCAUUUGAGGCAACCCUUGAUUCCCAGUAGUGUAGCUAUUCAAUGUGGUGAGAACCGGGUUCAUGUGGAGGUACAGCAGGACUUGUUUAGCAAUGGUGAAUUGAUCCAGCCAUCUGGUCUGACUUUGGAAGGAUGUCCUGUUGUCAGUUUGGUCCCAGGCUCUAAGGUGCUCUUUUAGGAUGAACUGCAGGACCGCAACAAUGUUGAUUGUAAUAGCUGUUGCUAGAUUUAUUGAACUCCACUAAAAAUAGGUCCUUGUUUUGGAAUCAAUAGUUCCCUGAAUCUAUAACAUCCAUGGGACGGUUCUUUUUAUAGUGGGGGAAAAAACUCUAAAUGACGCUCCCUUGGGUAACCAAGUGUUAUUUCACGACUUACUAAGAUGCCUUUUGGAAUGGGUCCUUAUUUUGAGAACCUUCUUGGUAACAAUGUCAGUCUCCUAUAGAUGACUAAGGAUGACCUUUGCCCUUACCUACACUCCUGAGCUGUUUGCCUGCACUCUGAUUACCUGUGCAGUUAUUGGUGUUCAAUGCAAUUAUCAAAGGUUUCAAAAUGUCCGCAGUAAGGCAUUGAAGCCAACUUGGGUCCCUUAUUCCUCAAUGGAUGUCUUGUGGAUGCCAAGAUUCACUUCAGUAUUCUGCAGAAGAAGAACAUCUGGCAGAAGAAGCGUCUACAUCACACUCACAAAAAUAAGUGCUUUCUGGGAUCAUCUUUUUUGCAUGCUGCAUAAGAUGUGUGCUGUGAUGCUGAAAAAUGCCGUCUAGACACAGUAGGCAGCUCACUAGGUUUUGCAUGAACAAUUGAGCAUCUUUACAUCACUGCAUCAUUUGCAAGACAAGAUGCUGAAUCUGAACACACUUCUGUCAGUGCUGCAUAAUGAUCGUCUCUUGAUGCAACUUUGAGAAAAGCACACUUCAUCUGCUCACGAAUGUGAAUGACACUCAUCUAUCUGGGAUGUGGUAUAUUCUGUGUGAGACGCUGGUUUGGGACGUCCUGUGCCUGAAGAUAAGAGGAGACGGCACGGCUCUUUCUCGCUGUGAUACACAUCAAACAUUCAUCCUGUCUUAUUCAUCCUGUUUGAGAAAAAUAGUCCAACAUGUCACCUUAGAGAUGUUACAGCCGGGUUGAUUCAGUUUACACAGGUUAAAGAAAGAAUCAAUAGUAAAAAUAUCUGACACAGAACUGUCAGUGGUUUGGGACGUCCUGCGCCUGCAGAUAACAUGAGAUCGUCCAGCUCUUCCCCGAACAUUCAUCCCGUCUCAUCACUGUUUAUGAAAACAGUCGAGCGUCUCACGUGGAGAUGUUUCAGAGCGUGUCUGACUGAUGGAGGGGACGUGUAAAUCAAACCCGCUGUCCAUAAAAGAGCAGCGCUGGAGACUGUGUGAAGUCGGCCCCUGCGGGACGUUGUUAAAACACUGCGCUCUGUUUGAUGUGUGCCAUUUCCAUGGCUUCUGUACGGCUUUCCAGUCUCUUUAAUUCACAGAGCCGUGUCAGCAUUCAGCCUCAAAUGUGUCUUUGAUUCGGAGAGGACCAGGGCUUUACUUCCACGCCUCGAGGACUUUAAUCCCUCAACCUCUUCUCUGCUCUUCUGUCUGUCUGACACAGAAAGGAUCUGAUUCUGCUGGACUCAACGAAGUGAUGCAACCACGUUCAUCAUCCAAGUGCAUUCAAAAACUC